rnacentral:rRNA from 1 species
AUACGUAGGUGGCAAGCGUUGUCCGGAUUUACUGGGCGUAAAGCGUGCGUAGGUGGUUGUUUAAGUCUGUCGUGAAAGCCCUGGGCUCAACCUGGGAAUGGCGAUGGAAACUGGGCGACUAGAGUGUGGCAGAGGGUAGUGGAAUUCCUGGUGUAGCAGUGAAAUGCGUAGAGAUCAGGAGGAACAUCCGUGGCGAAGGCGAAUGCCUGGGCCAACACUGACACUGAGGCACGAAAGCGUGGGGAGCAAACAGGAUUAGAUACCCUGGUAGUCCACGCCCUAAACGAUGCGAACUGGAUGUUGGGUGCAAUUUGGCACGCAGUAUCGAAGCUAACGCGUUAAGUUCGCCGCCUGGGGAGUACGGUCGCAAGACUGAAACUCAAAUGAAUUGACGGGG